CCAAUAGCGUAUAUUAAAGUUGUUGCAGUUAAAAAGCUCGUAGUUGAACUUCGGGGUUCACCCAUUGGUCAGGCUUAAUUGUCUGCACUGGUGAGAUGAGUCUCUACCUUCUGAGGAACUUUCAUGCCAUUUAUUUGGUGUGGUUGGAAAUCAGGACUGUUACUUUGAAAAAAUUAGAGUGUUUAAAGCAGGCUAACGUCUGAAUACAUUAGCAUGGAAUAAUGAAAUAGGACGGACUGAUUCUAUUUCGUUGGUUUCUAGGAUCACCGUAAUGAUUAAUAGGGAUAGUUGGGGGCAUUAGUAUUCAAUUGUCAGAGGUGAAAUUCUUGGAUUUAUUGAAGACUAACUACUGCGAAAGCAUUCGCCAAGGAUGUUUUCAUUAAUCAAGAACGAAAGUUAGGGGAUCGAAGACGAUCAGAUACCGUCGUAGUCUUAACCAUAAACUAUGCCGACUAGGGAUCGGACGAAGUUAAUUUUAUAAUGACGCGUUCGGCACCUUACG
rnacentral:rRNA from 1 species